rnacentral:rRNA from 1 species
AGCGAACGCUGGCGGCAGGCUUAACACAUGCAAGUCGAGCGGAGCGAGGGUGCUUGCACCUUAGCUUAGCGGCGGACGGGUGAGUAAUGCUUAGGAAUCUGCCUAUUAGUGGGGGACAACAUUCCGAAAGGAAUGCUAAUACCGCAUACGCCCUACGGGGGAAAGCAGGGGAUCUUCGGACCUUGCGCUAAUAGAUGAGCCUAAGUCGGAUUAGCUAGUUGGUGGGGUAAAGGCCUACCAAGGCGACGAUCUGUAGCGGGUCUGAGAGGAUGAUCCGCCACACUGGGACGGAGACAAGGCCCAGACUCCGACGGGAGGCAGCAGUGGGGAAUAUUGGACAAUGGGCGGAAGCCUGAUCCAGCCAUGCCGCGUGUGUGAAGAAGGCCUUUUGGUUGUAAAGCACUUUAAGCGAGGAGGAGGCUCUUAAGGUUAAUACCCUUGAUGAGUGGACGUUACUCGCAGAAUAAGCACCGGCUAACUCUGUGCCAGCAGCCGCGGUAAUAC